UUUUACUACCCUCGGAUGACUUCCUUCGUCACGCGUGGAUCUGCUCUAAGGCUGCCUGCCUGCCUGCCGGCCGCCUGCGGAAGUCCUCCCUGGGGCCUUUGCCGCCCCGGAGCUGCCAGGCAUCGCGGGCGCGCGCGCGCGCACACACACAGAGGACCUGCGAACCGACC
rnacentral:lncRNA from 1 species